GCAGAGAUGGGAGGAGGGUGGGCAGAGAAAAGUCAGCAUCUCUCUUCCCAUUCCUUCCGAUAGCUCCUGCCCAGUGGCCCCCACUCUCCUUGGCUCUGCUACAGCAUUUCCUUCCCUGGUUCCUCAGGGUGGUCAAUUCCUUCCUGGCGACCUCUACACUCCUGGCUGGUUCUCUCUACCUCCUUUAUUCACAGUUGAACCAUCUGAGUUGGAGUCUGUCUCCUGCCAGAACCCUGACCUGACACAGGGGAACAGCGGCCUUGGGACUUGAUCAAAUCCCUGGUGCGAUCCAAGAGGGAGAAACGUUACGGUGCACAAGGUCCACGUGAUAGAGCCGUCCAUGGCAACAAACUCCUCUGGGACACAGUCAAGCGCGCUUGGCCUACUCCACAGAACGGUUGUUAAGAGCGACCCUGAGCCAUUAACGAGCCUCAGGAACAGCCUGAGACCCCUGUGGAGCCCUGAGUCAAUGUGACAUCGACCUCUAGCGGACAAAAUUGAGAAUGCAGCAGCUCCAAGUAAAAGAUGUCCUGUGACACCAGGCACAACCGAAGGAAACACAGAUCCCAACGUUUCCUUCCUUUUUCACUACUAUCACGCAAACUGACUUCCUCUCCCAUUUCCAGGAGAGCCCAUUGUCAAAUUUCUGCCUAAAUAAUAAAAAAAUUCAACUAUUAGCAUUCUGAGUAUCGGUGUCUAGAAAUUUAUUGACAUCGGAGCUUCUAUGAAAGGCAGAGAGAGAUUUUCCACCACAACUGAGUAGAAGUCAAUUUUCCUACAGUAAUUCCUUCCUGCCUAAUCCUUUCCAGCCUCCUGGCAUUUUUAAUUGGGAUUGCAGGUUGCAGGCUAUCAGACAGUCUUGAGACAGAGGUGCAUUUUAUUUUUACAUUUCAUUCUUAAUCUUAUUUUUUAAGAGAUGGGGUUUUGCUAUGUUGCACCGGAUGGAACACAGUAGUCAUUCACUGGCACACAAAAAGCACUGGAGCUCUGACCCGCUGGGUGUCUGACCUGGGCUGGUUCACUCCCCCUGAGGCAUCCUGGGGGUGCUCUGCUCCAGGGAGGUCACCUCAUUGACACUGAACCCACAUGACAGCUCCGAACUCCUGGGCUCAAACAAUCCUCCAGCCUGAGCCUCUGGGUAGCUGGAACUACAGGCAUGCACCACCACCAUGCCCAGAAAGGUGCGUUUUAAACCACUUGAUAGUCAUAGGGUAAACGUUAUCUCUGUAACAAGGAGAGAAAAAGUUGAGCCCAAAGAAGGGAUAGGUUUAGGGAAAGAGGAUGCAAUUUGAGGGGUGAAUACAUGAACUAUUUUUGCCUUACAAACACAUCAGAUGACAAUAUGUAUUGUCGUUACUUUCCUUCUUAGCACACAACCUGCCGUCGUGAGGUCCUGGAACGUGCACCGUGUGACUACUCAGUUCUGAUGAGAUGCUUCUAGCCCCUUUGGCUUCACUUAACAGCUUCUCAUUACUUUGUAAUCCGCAGGUUUUAAGGCCAUGACCACCCACUUGCCUCACUCAAGCCCUUAUAAGUAUCCUUAAACAUCUCUUGUUCUCUAUCUGUAUGCAGGCUGCCGAGCAAGAAAGAAAAUCUUUAAAACCAAAAUAAUUGGCUCAGAAUAAACCAAGCUCAGAGAGGGAAAGAGCUGGCAUCAAACAAAGCAGAGGAGGCUUCUCUGUGCACUCCUGCCAGGCAGAGGGGCAGCAAGGGAUAGUGAGAGCUGUGGCACUCUCCUGAGGACAUGUUCAGGAGUGAGGCCAUCAGGGAAGGAUAAUGAACUCCUGACCAGACCGAUUGAGACUGAAAUUUACAGACAAAUCCACUUGCCUGUGGCUUCUUGGAUAUUGGCCCCUGGCUCUGUUCUCCUCCAGCACUUCCUCUGCAGUAUGAACCACACCCCCAGUUGCGGUAAAACAGCCAUUCUUACAUCUGAUCUGUAUAGGAAGGGGACUUUUGAGCACUUUCCUAAAGCUCGUUUCUCUCAACACUGGACUCUAUACACAUCUGUAAAACAGACGGUGAUCAAGCUCACAUCUCAGUUUAGUGUAAUCGUACCAGCUGGCAUCAAUAUUAGUACAGAAAAUAAAAGUGAUAAAGCCUGUAUUUAAUAAGCCUCUAACCUUAUGCACUGUCUCCCUCUUUCAUCUUUAUUUAUUAAUUUGAUGGAUUCUUGCUCUGUCACCCAGGCUGGAGUGCAGUGGCGGCGAUCUUGGCUCACCGCAACCUCUGCCUCCUGGGUACAAUUGAUUCUGUUGCCUCAGCCUCUCGAGUAACUGGGAUUACAGGCACCUGCCAUCAUUUUCGGCUAAUUUUUGUAUUUUUGUAGAGACGAGGUUUCACCAUGUUAGCCAGUCUGGUCUUGAACUCCUGACCUCCCAAAGUGCUGGGAUUACAAGUGUGAGCCACCAAGCCCAGCCGUUUUUUUUUUUUUUUUUGAGACAGAGUUUCACUCUUGUUACCCAGGCUGGACUGCAAUGGCAUGAUCUCGGCUCACCGCAACCUCCGCCUCCUGUGUUCAGGCAAUUCUCCUGCCUCAGCCUCCUGAGUAGCUGGGAUUACAGGCACGUGCCACCAUGCCCAGCUAAUUUUUUUUUGUAUUUUUAGUAGAGACGGGGUUUCACCAUGUUGACCAGGUUGGUCUCGAUCUCUCGACCUCGUGAUCCACCCACCUCAGCCUCCCAAAGUGCUGGGAUUACAGGCUUGAGCCACCACACCUGGCCGCCCAGCCUUCUUUUACAUUUUUGCCAGCACUUGAUGCCAGGAACUCUACCACCAACUUCUACUGGGAAUGGAAGCAUCGUUAUCACAGGGGACUGUCCGGGUGGAGCCAGCGGCAAAACCGUGUGCGUUCGGGGAGCCAAGGAUGGACAGACCUGGCACAGGUGCCCACCUGGCACAGGUGCCCACCUGGCACAGGUGCCCGCCUGGCCCUACUGCCCUGGACUCCCAGGGUUACCUACCAUUUCCUUGAAAGCACUUUCAAGCGCCCCUAUGACCAGGCACUCGUGGGGAAUCUUCUUCUCGGUAAAGAAGCGUGUGGGGGGCGUGCUGGGGGAGCCCGGAGCCCCCACCCCUCCACGCAGGGAGGCUGCCCUGGUCAGAGUCCUGCUGUUGGCGGGCGUGUUCUCGGGCUCCUCCCCCAGGCAGGUGGGUGGCAGGACGGCAGAGUUCUUCAGGAUGUCCACGAUGUCCUGCAGCUGCUCGGUGACGUGGUGCUGUAGCAGGCGCGACGCCACCACCGCAGCCCCGGACCCUGCAUGCCCGUCAAACAGCGACCAAUAAUGGCAGGAAACACCCUCGGACUCCUGCAGGAGAGGGCGACAGAGAGGAGUGAGAACAGCGGUGGCCUUUGCCUCAGGGUCAUACAGACUGUGCCAGACCAUUCACUUGGUUGUCUGUAGUCUGCAAACAAUGCAGUCAAAACAUAGGAAAAGAAACACUCAGGGAAGGGUCCCCAGGUGAGUCACUGUUGUUACCAGCACUCUAAGGAUGAAGUGGUCACUGCCUCCCCACCUAGCAAGGGAAUCCGAAUGAUCACAUAAUAAGUUACUACUUGGAGGGUGAGAGCUACUCUAAUCUGAGCUGUAGGUGUUUGCAUAAAACUCUCCUACAAACAGACAAGUCUGCAGGAGUCCAGCUUGAACACCUAACUCCUUACCUCCCACCCUUUUUUUUUUUGAGACAGAGUCUUGCUGUGUCACCCAGGCUGGAGUGCAGUGGUGCGAUCUCGGCCCGAAGUUCAAGUGAUUCUCAUGCCUCAGCUUCUGGAGUAGCUGGGACCACAGGCAUAUGCCACCACACCCAGCUAAUUUUUUUUGUAUUUUUAGGAGAGAUGGGGUUUUCACCAUGUUGGCCAGGCUGGUUUCAAACUCCUGGCCUCAAGUGAUUGGCCGGUGUUGGCCUCCCAAAGUGCUGGGAUGACAGACCUGCGCCACUGCACCUGGCACCUGCCUUCUAUUUCAACCCCAGAGUAGGUUUGGCCUGGGGCCUUGGAUAAAGGCCCUUUUCUCAGAUUUUCCAAUGGGAAAUAAGUAGACCCAUUUACCCCAGUUAGAGCCCUUACAUGCUGAGAUAACUGCCCCAUCUUUCUUGGUCUACAUCCUGAAUUUUUAGAACAUGUUUUCACCCUAGACACCCAGUCAAGUCCAGGCCUCACAAGAUGCAGCCAAUUCAAAUCUCCUUUUUAUAUUUCCCACCUCCCUCAGUUCUCCAACUGAUGUCACUCUGUCUCUUCAUUUCCUCUUCCUGCCUUACAGCUACACGCAGCCCGUGUUCCCUCAUCUACCUUGGGUUUGGUGGCUGCCGGUGGGUUUCUAGACUACUUCGAGAUCAGUACUUCUGAACCCAUGUUUAAAUUACACAUGCAUUCGAUCUUAGAGAAAAGGAGCUCAAUUAUGAGAGAGCUGAUAGAGAGCUCAGAAAUAAACCCAUAUGUUUUCAACUCAUCUCUGACGAGGGUACCAAGAAUACACACUAGGGAAAGAAGAGUCUCUUCAGUAAACGGUAUUAGGAAGAGAGAAUAUCCUCAUGCAAAAGAAUGGAAUUGGGCCAUCUUCUUACAUCAUAUACAGAAACCAACUCGACAUGGCCUAAAGACUUAGAUCUAAGGCCUGAAAUCAUAAAACUCCUAGAAAAAAACAUGGGUGAAAAAAAAGCUCCUUGAUAUUGAUCUUGGCAAUGAUUAUUUAGACAUGAUACCCAAAGCACAGGCAACAAAGCAAAACAAACAAGUGGGACUACAUUAAACUAGAAUGUCUGCACAGCCAAGGAAGUAACCCACAAAAGCGAGAGGCAGGCAGCCUAUGGCAUGAGAGAAAACAUUCGCAAAGCACGUGUGUGAUAAGGGGUUAAUUUUCAACAGAAACAAGAAACUCCUAUAAUUCCAUUGCCAACAAAACAAAACAAGCAAGCCGAUUAAAAAAUGGGCAGAGGCCUUGAAGAGACGUUUCUUCAAACACGACAUAAAAUAAAUGGCCAGCAGGUUUGUGAAAAGACGCUCAACAUCUACACCUUUCAUAAAACUCAGUGAACUGAAAUUAAGGACUUUCCCCAACCAGAUAAGGGGCAUCUAGGGAAAACCUAUAGUUCAUACCGUAUUUCAUGAUGAAAUACUGAAUGCUUUUUUGUAACACUGGGCAACACGCAAAAAUGUAUGCUCUCACUCCUAUUCAACACUGUAUUGGAGGGUUCUAGAUAGGCAAGAAAAAAGAAAAGGCCUAAAAAGAUUGUAUUAGAAAACAGCUGGGCACAGUGGCUCAAGCCUGUAAUCCCAGCUACUCAGAAGGUUGAGGUGGGAUAAUUCUUUGAAUCCAGGAUGAGGAGGUUGCAAGUGGCCAAGAUUGUGCCACUGUAUUCCAGCCUGAGGUGACAGAAAGACUAUAUGAGAAAAUAAAGUUUCAUUUAUCCUGGCUUUGAGCAAUUUGAGCAUGAUGUGCCUUAGUGUCAUUUUCUUCAUGUUUUAUAUGCUUGGAGUUUGUCUUUCUCAAUCUGUGGACAUAUAGUUAUUUCAUCUUAAUUUAGAAAAAUUUUACUUAUUAUUUCUUAAAAAAUUUUUUUGGGUAUUCUAUCUUUUCUCCUUGGAAGAAUCUAAAUACACAUGUAGUGAUCCUUAGAGGUUGUCCCACAGCUCAUUAAGGAUACUUUCAUUUUUUUUUAAUGCUUCAUUUUGGUUAAUUUCUAUCACAAUGUAUUAAACUUGCUGAUGUUUUCUUUUCGUUUUUAUUAAAAAAUGGACAAAGGAUCUGAAUAGACAUUUCUCAAAUUAAGACAUGCAAGUGGCUAACAGUUAUCUGAAAGAGUGCUAAAAAUCAAUCAUCAGAAAAAUGCAAAUCAAAACCACAGCGAGACAGCACCUCAUACCUGUUAGGAUCACUAUUAUUUAAGAAAGGAGACAAGUGUUGGCGAGGACGGAGAGAAAAAGGAAUCUUCUUCACUGUUGGCGGGAAUGUAAAUUAGCAUAGCCAUGACAGAAACCAGUAUGGAGGUUCCUCAAAAAAUUAAAAAGAGAACCAUCAUAUGAAGCAAUUUUACUGCUGGUGAUGUAACAAAAAGGAAAGGAAAUCAGCCUUGAUAGCCCCAUGUUCAUUGCAGCAUUUUUUUUUUUUUUUUUUUUGAGACGGAGUUUCACUCUUGUUACCCAGGCUGAAGUUCAAUGGCACGAUCUCGGCUCACCGCAACCUCCACCUUCUGGGUUCAAGCAAUUCUUCUGCCUCAGCCUCCUGAGUAACUGGGACUACAAGCGUGCACCAUCAUGCCUAGCUAAUUUUUGUAUUUUUAGUAGAGACGGGGUUUCACCUCGUUGACCAGGAUGGUCUCGAUCUCUUGACCUCAUGAUCCACCCGCCUCUGCCUCCCAAAGUACUGGGAUUAUAGGCGUGAGCCACCGCGCCUGGCCCAUUGCAGCAUUAUUCACAACAGCCAAGACACUGAAACCACCUCAUCAGAUGAAUGGUAAAGAAAAUGUGUAUACUAUCUACAUACAGUAAGAUAUUAUUCAGCCAUAAAAAGAAGGAAAUUCUGCCAUUUGCAGCAACAUGAAUGAGCCUGGAGGGCAUUAAAUGAAAUAGGCCAGACACAGAAAGACAAACACCACGUGAUCUCACUUAUAUGUGGAAUCUAAAAAAAGAGUCAAACUCGUAGAAGCAGAGAGUAGAAUGGUGGUUGCCAGGGGCUGGGGUUGAGGGAAGUGGGGAGAUAACCGUCAAAGGGUACAAAACUUCACUUAUCAAAUGAGUAAGUUCUGGGGAUCUAAUGCACAGCAUGGUGACUACAGUUAGUAACCCUGAACUGUGUACUUGACAGUACCCAAGAGAGUAGAUUCUAAGUGUCUUCACCACAAACACACACAAACUGGUAACUAUGUAAGGCAAUGGGAGUAUUAACUUGAUUGUGGUGGUCGUUUCGCAAUGUACACGUGUAUCAAACCAUGCACACCUAAAAUACGAUUUUGUCAAUCAUAGCUGAAUAAAGCUGGGAAAAAGGAAACAUUACAUUUGAAAAAAAUGUAGCGAGGUAGGAUAUAAAACACUAAGAAAAAUAAAUAUUUGGGCUCUCUAUUUUCAGAAAUGGAUGGACAAAGAGGUAAGGUAUGCAUAUAACAUUUACCUCUGACUAGUAGGCUUAUCCACCCCACAGCAAUAAAUACUGAAGGCUUUUUUUAAAAGCUGAAAUCAAGUAAAAUUCUUAAUGCUAGAAGACAGUGAGUAGGUAUGGUGACAUGGGCAAUUUAAAAAGAGCACUCUGUGCUAUUUAAAACUUGAUUUCCAGGCCGGGCACGGUGGCUCAAGCCUGUAAUCCCAGCACUUUGGGAGGCCGAGGCGGGUGGAUCACGAGGUCAAGAGAUCGAGACCAUCCUGGUCAAUUUGGUGAAACCCCGCCUCUACUAAAAAUGCAAAAAAUUAGCUGGGCAUGGUGGCGCGUGCCUGUAAUCCCAGCUACUCAGGAGGCUGAGGCAGGAGAAUUGCCUGAACCCAGGAGGCGGAGGUUGUGGUGAGUCGAGAUUGCGCCAUUGCACUCCAGCCUGGGUAACAAGGGCGAAACUCCGUCUCAAAAAAAAAAAAAAAAACAACUUGAUUUCCAUUCAAUUCUGUGCUAGGUGCUGAGAAUAAAAUAGCUGAUUUUUAAUUCAACCAAUAGGUGAUUUGAGCACUUUCUAUGCAAAAGGCUCUACAGUAGGCAGCAGAUAAAAGACUGGCUGAAGGAGUUAUCGGACAUGGCCUGAUCUUAAUAGUGCAGUGGGGAAGACAGAUAGUGAUUGAUAUGGUUUGGAUUUGUGUCCCCUCCCCGGCAAAUCUCAGGUCGAAUUCUGAUCCCCAAUGUUGGAGGAGGGGCGCGGUGGAAGGGGACUACAUCAUGGGGGUGAAUCUCCCCUUGCUGUUCUUGUGACAGUGAGUGAGUUCUCACGAGAUCUGGUUGUUUAAAACUGUGUAGCCUCCCCUUCACUCUCUUCCUUGUAAGAAGCGCCUGUUUCCCCUACCCCUUCCACCGUGACUGAACGUUUCCCUGAGGCCUCUUUUGCUAUGCUUCCUGUAUAGCCUGUGGACCAGUGAGCCAAUUAAACCUCUUCUUCAUAAA